rnacentral:misc_RNA from 1 species
AACGAGGCCGACCUGCGGCUGAGUUACCUGCGGAAGGAUCAUUAAUAAAUAAUCCAAAAUAUGGAUUAUAAAAUCCAUACACCUUUUGUGAACUGUAAUCUGUCCAUUGCUUUUUUUCCUUUCCGGGUUUAGUGUCAUUUUUAGUUUAGAGAAUGUCGUAUUCGAUAUGCUUGAAAACUGAUUUGGCAUCCGGGAAGGGAAGGGCAAUACUAAACACUUUUUUAUUUUUUUAAUAUGUUG